rnacentral:rRNA from 1 species
UACGUAGGGUGCAAGCGUUAAUCGGAAUUACUGGGCGUAAAGCGUGCGCAGGCGGUUAUGUAAGACAGUUGUGAAAUCCCCCGGGCUCAACCUGGGAACUGCAUCUGUGACUGCAUAGCUAGAGUACGGUAGAGGGGGAUGGAAUUCCGCGUGUAGCAGUGAAAUGCGUAGAUAUGCGGAGGAACACCGAUGGCGAAGGCAAUCCCCUGGACCUGUACUGACGCUCAUGCGACGAAAAGCGUGGGGAGCAAACGAGG